rnacentral:sRNA from 1 species
AGACAAAAAAGACCCUGUAUUUUCUUCGUUCGUUGCCGUUUGGUUUAUAGUGAUCUCGUGUUCUUUGUGUUAGCUGCUCUGCUCAGCUUGCCAGCCAUGGCGGCAAAGCAAGCGGCUUUUCUAAGAUAUUGUCGCUAAACUGUAUUUUGGGGUGAAAGUAUUGCUACUCGAUUCCAUCCUUAAAAAGUUGUGGUAAUAGAAAUGUUUUGAUCCUAU